UAUGGCAAAUGAUAUAAUUUUGCCAUAUCAGGGUACACCCAUUGUAUACCAUCACAACUGAGUUGAAGCAUAAUAAGCCUUUGUUAGACUUGGUCUCCAGCUUUCAAAAAGCCUAGUGAUGACACUUCAGUUCACAAGCUCUGAAAGGCCCAUCAAGGACAGGGGGUGCUCUAGCUGUUAGCAGCUCAAAGGGGAAGAGCAAGAAGAGACAUGGCAAGAUUCAUACCCAGCAAGAGAAGCUUGACCCAUUGCCGUCGCCGGAGGCAACAAAGAGGAAGUCAACAUGGAGGUGGAUCUGGAAGGAGAAGGCGGCAGCAGCAUGACAGAAGGAGGAAAGGUCGCAGAUUUCAUGAGAACAGGAGAAAGAGGAGGAGACAUGAAUAAACUCUAUCUUCACGGUCUCCUUCACUCUCGAUCUGGAAAACUGACUUCUCUCCGCCAAACAAAAAUGAAAGGAAGCAAAUUCUCUCCAUUAGAACACCCAAGAUGUCUUCCCAGGAAUCCAAGAACAUGAAUUGAACAAGGCCACCUGUCAAUAAAUGCUACCAUUUCA